rnacentral:rRNA from 1 species
GAUGAACGCUGGCGGCGUGCCUAAUACAUGCAAGUCGAGCGAACGGACGAGAAGCUUGCUUUUCUGAUGUUAGCGGCGGACGGGUGAGUAACACGUGGAUAACCUACCUAUAAGACUGGGAUAACUUCGGGAAACCGGAGCUAAUACCGGAUAAUAUUUUGAACCGCAUGGUUCAAAAGUGAAAGACGGUCUUGCUGUCACUUAUAGAUGGAUCCGCGCUGCAUUAGCUAGUUGGUAAGGUAACGGCUUACCAAGGCAACGAUGCAUAGCCGACCUGAGAGGGUGAUCGGCCACACUGGAACUGAGACACGGUCCAGACUCCUACGGGAGGCAGCAGUAGGGAAUCUUCCGCAAUGGGCGAAAGCCUGACGGAGCAACGCCGCGUGAGUGAUGAAGGUCUUCGGAUCGUAAAACUCUGUUAUUAGGGAAGAACAUAUGUGUAAGUAACUGUGCACAGCUUGACGGUACCUAAUCAGAAAGCCACGGCUAACUACGUG